rnacentral:rRNA from 1 species
AACAAACGCUGGCGGCGUGCCUAAUACAUGCAAGUCGAACGGGGUAGCAAUACCUAGUGGCGCACGGGUGAGGAACGCGUGGAUAAUCUGCCUUAGAGUGGGGGAUAACUAGUCGAAAGAUUAGCUAAUACCGCAUAAGACCACAGGAGCUGCGGCUCUAGGGGUCAAAGGUUUUUCGCUCUAAGAUGAGUCCGCGUAAGAUUAGCUAGUUGGUGAGGUAACGGCUCACCAAGGCGACGAUCUUUAACUGGUCUGAGAGGAUGAUCAGUCACACUGGAACUGAGACACGGUCCAGACUCCUACGGGAGGCAGCAGUAGGGAAUAUUGCACAAUGGAGGAAACCCUGAUGCAGCGACGCCGCGUGAGUGAUGAAGGCCUCCGGGUCGUAAAGCUCUGUCGCAGGGGAAUAACACAAUGAAUGUACCCUGUAAGAAAGGAUCGGCUAACUUCGUGCCAGCAGCCGCCGUAACAC